rnacentral:ncRNA from 1 species
CAAAAACCUGGUCCUGAUUUUAAUAUCAGUUCUAACUUGUCUUAUACAUGCAAGUAACUGCCCACCAGUGAGAAUGCCCUAUUCCCCCCCACCCGGGGGUUAGGAGCUGGCAUCAGGCACACUAAAAGUAGCCCAAAACGCCUUGCUUAGCCACACCCCCACGGGAACUCAGCAGUAAUUAACCUUAAGCCAUGAGCGAAAGCUCGACUUAGAUAAAGUUAAGAGGGCCGGUCAAACUCGUGCCAGCAACCGCGGUUAUACGAGUGGCCCAAACUGAUAUAUACGGCGUAAAGGGUGAUUAGAAGAUAUAAAACUAAAGCCAAACCUCUUUAUAGGCUGUUGAAAGCUAAAGAAGAAGUGAAGCCCACGCACGAAAGUCGCUUUAACAUUUUUGAAUUCACGAGAGUUAGGAAACAAACUGAGAUUAGAUACCCCACUAUGCCUAACUGUAAACCAAGGUGACAAUCUACUUUGUUGCCCGCCCGGGGACUACGAGCGACAGCUUAAAACCCAAAGGACUUGGCGGUGUCUCAAACCCAUCUAGAGGAGCCUGUUCUAUAACCGAUAAUCCACGUUCAACCUCACCACUCCUUGUAAAACCCGCCUAUAUACCGCCGUCGCCAGCUUGCCUUUUGAGAGCCGAAUAGCAAGCAUAAAGGGACCAUUCCCAAUACGUCAGGUCGAGGUGUAGCGAAUGGAGUGGGAUGAAAUGGGCUACAUUUUCUGAUUCAGAAAACACGCAAAGUGCCUGAAACACGCACAUUAUAAAGGUGGAUUUAGCAGUAAAAAGGAAGUAGAGAGUCCUUUUGAAAUAGGCUCUGAGACGCGUACAUACCGCCCGUCACUCUCCUCGACUCGAUAAAAAUAUAUUCUUAAACAAAGAUAGAACUAAAGAGGAGGCAAGUCGUAACAUGGUAAGUGUACCGGAAGGUGUACUUGGACAAAUU